rnacentral:rRNA from 1 species
AUUGAACGCUGGCGGCAGGCCUAACACAUGCAAGUCGAGCGGAUGAAGGGAGCUUGCUCCUGGAUUCAGCGGCGGACGGGUGAGUAAUGCCUAGGAAUCUGCCUGGCAGUGGGGGAUAACGUCCGGAAACGGGCGCUAAUACCGCAUACGUCCUGAGGGAGAAAGUGGGGGAUCUUCGGACCUCACGCUAUCAGAUGAGCCUAGGUCGGAUUAGCUAGUUGGUGGGGUAAGGGCCUACCAAGGCGACGAUCCGUAACUGGUCUGAGAGGAUGAUCAGUCACACUGGAACUGAGACACGGUCCAGACUCCUACGGGAGGCAGCAGUGGGGAAUAUUGGACAAUGGGCGAAAGCCUGAUCCAGCCAUGCCGCGUGUGUGAAGAAGGUCUUCGGAUUGUAAAGCACUUUAAGUUGGGAGGAAGGGCAGUAAGUUAAUACCUUGCUGUUUUGACGUUACCAACAGAAUAAGCACCGGCUAACUUCGUG